rnacentral:rRNA from 1 species
AUUGAACGCUGGCGGCAUGCUUUACACAUGCAAGUCGAACGGUAACAGGGAGCUUGCUCCGCUGACGAGUGGCGAACGGGUGAGUAAUGCGUCGGAACGUGCCGAGUAGUGGGGGGAUAACGCAUCGAAAGGUGUGCUAAUACCGCAUACGUACUGAGGUAGAAAGUGGGGGACCUUCGGGCCUCACGCUAUUCGAGCGGCCGACGUCUGAUUAGCUAGUUGGUGAGGUAAAGGCUCACCAAGGCGACGAUCAGUAGCGGGUCUGAGAGGGAUGAUCAGCCACACUGGGACUGAGACACGGCCCAGACUCCUACGGAGGCAGCAGUGGGGAAUAUUGGACAAUGGGCGCAAGCCUGAUCCAGCCAUGCCGCGUGAGUGAUGAAGGCCCUAGGGUU